UGUAAAGAUGGAGAUGGGAGAGGGCCUCUCUUUCCUUAGAAACCCUGGUUACCUGCUGCUACCCACACUGUUGGCAACAGCAUCUGUUUCAAUAGGUAAAGCAGGCUUAGCUGGAUGGUAUCCGUGGAGCCCAGCCCUUUGGUUCUUGGAGCCCACUCAGUUUUAAUUGGGAUGAAAAAGGCUUGCCUGAAAGCUGCUAUUUUUCCUGCAGGACACGGUUCCUUUGGACAGGAGGUCGCAUGCUGCUGCCCUUCAGUCCCAACACGCUGCUGCUGGCAGCACAGACAGACCUGUGGUGCUUGGGGUGCAAUUGCCGUCUGCGUGUCUGGGCAGACCGCGCUCAGCUGCGGCUGUGCAGUGUGAACCCAGGGGAAGUGCGAGGGGAAGAGAAACUUCCUUUCCCUUGCUGUCAGCUUGCUAACACCCAACAGGACAAGGAGAGAUUUUCACUGGACCCUACUGGGAACGUUUGGUGCUGUCUGGCAGCUGUUUGGGUGAUGGAGAGACUCUGAAUUUCCUGCUUUACCUUCCAGCUCCGAACAAAGCGCUCUCUAUGUAAAGGGAGCCUCGCUGCCGGCGAAGCAGCUAGUUCCAACACGUCCCUUUCCCUCCUGGCACCCUCCACGUAGCCCCCACAGAAGGGGCAGGGAGUGCAGUUCCCAGCACACCUGAGUCACCCCUCGCCGAGCGCCGGCAGGAAGGGGUGGUGGCAGCUGGGAAGCUCCCGUGAGUCACCGACCAACAGCCGCACGGAGAGGAACUUGGCACCGUGCUCUGCGCUCUUACUCCUCCCGUCGGACUUCUUGCUGAAGGCUGGCCGCUGGGGGAGGAAAGGAUCAUUACAGUGAAAGCUAGUGCAGUAAAGGAAAGGAGGAAGAGUAGGAGCAAAAACGCCUUCUUGCCACCCAGCUGCACGAAAUCAGAUUUUGGCAGUUCUCCUCAAGCUGUUUUAUGGUUCCCAGC
ensembl:lncRNA